rnacentral:rRNA from 1 species
UACGAAGGGAGCUAGCGUUGUUCGGAAUUACUGGGCGUAAAGGGUGCGUAGGCGGUUUAGUCAGUCAGGUGUGAAAGCCCCGAGCUCAACUCGGGAACUGCGCUUGAUACUGCUAGGCUUGAAUUCGGAAGAGGUGAGUGGAAUUCCCAGUGUAGAGGUGAAAUUCGUAGAUAUUGGGAAGAACACCGGUGGCGAAGGCGGCUCACUGGUCCGACAUUGACGCUGAGGCACGAAAGCGUGGGGAGCAAACAGG